rnacentral:rRNA from 1 species
UAGGGAGUUUUCGGCAAUGGGGGAAACCCUGACCGAGCAACACCGCGUGAGUGAUGAAGGUCUUCGGAUUGUAAAACUCUGUUGUGUGGAAAAAAUGAUAGGUAGAGUGGAAAGCUACUUAUUUGAUGGUACCACACCAGAAAGCCACGGCUAACUACGUGCCAGCAGCCGCGGUAAUACGUAGGUGGCAAGCGUUAUCCGGAAUUAUUGGGCGUAAAGAGUGAGCAGGCGGUUAUUUAAGUCUGAAGUCAAAUGCUAUGGCUUAACCAUAGUACGCUUUGGAAACUGGGUAACUAGAGUGCGAGAGAGGUAAGCGGAAUUCCAUGUGUAGCGGUGAAAUGCGUAGAUAUAUGGAGGAACACCAGUGGCGAAGGCGGCUUACUAGCUCGUAACUGACGCUCAGUCACGAAAGCGUGGGUAGCAAAUAGG